rnacentral:SRP_RNA from 1 species
UCGUGCUAGACGGGGAGCCAGCGGUGCCCUGAACCCGCAAUCCGCUUCAGCGGGGUUGAACUCCCGACCGAGGCGCCGGGCUGUUGAGAACGGUCCGGCAAAGCCGUGAUGAUGGCUGGGUCCCGCGCAACAUCGACCCUCCAACUCCGCCAGGACCGGAAGGGAGCAACGGUACGAGGUUUUCGAUGUGUGUUGCGGUAACGCCUGGCCUGAACGGCUGAGCCGGGGGCCGCUUGGGAACUCGCGCGUCGACGAAGGGUGCACGA